rnacentral:rRNA from 1 species
GAUGAACGCUGGCGGCGUGCCUAAUACAUGCCAGUCGAGCGAACAGACGAGGAGCUUGCUCCUCUGACGUUAGCGGCGGACGGGUGAGUAACACGUGGAUAACCUACCUAUAAGACUGGGAUAACUUCGGGAAACCGGAGCUAAUACCGGAUAAUAUAUUGAACCGCAUGGUUCAAUAGUGAAAGACGGUUUUGCUGUCACUUAUAGAUGGAUCCGCGCCGCAUUAGCUAGUUGGUAAGGUAACGGCUUACCAAGGCAACGAUGCGUAGCCGACCUGAGAGGGUGAUCGGCCACACUGGAACUGAGACACGGUCCAGACUCCUACGGGAGGCAGCAGUAGGGAAUCUUCCGCAAUGGGCGAAAGCUUGACGGAGCAACGCCGCGUGAGUGACGAAGGUCUUCGGAUCGUAAAACUCUGUUAUUAGGGAAGAACAAAUGUGUAAGUAACUAUGCACGUCUUGACGGUACCUAAUCAGAAAGCCACGGCUAACUACGUG